rnacentral:rRNA from 1 species
AUUGAACGCUGGCGGCAUGCCUUACACAUGCAAGUCGAACGGUAACGGGCCUUCGGGUGCCGACGAGUGGCGAACGGGUGCGUAAUACAUCGGAACGUGCCCGAACGUGGGGGAUAACGAGGCGAAAGCUUUGCUAAUACCCCAUACGAUCUACGGAUGAAAGCAGGGGACCGCAAGGCCUUGCGCGGACGGACCGGCCGAUGGCAGAUUAGGUAGUUGGUGGGAUAAAAGCUUACCAAGCCGACGAUCUGUAGCUGGCCUGAGAGGAUGAUCAGCCACACUGGGACUGAGACACGGCCCAGACUCCUACGGGAGGCAGCAGUGGGGAAUUUUGGACAAUGGGCGUAAGCCUGAUCCAGCCAUGCCGCGUGCAGGAUGAAGGCCUUCGGGUUGUAAACUGCUUUUGUACGGAACGAAAAGCCUUCUUUUAAUACAGGGGGGUCAUGACGGUACCGUAAGAAUAAGCACCGGCUAACUACGUG